rnacentral:rRNA from 1 species
UACAGGGGUCUCAAGCGUUGUUCGGAUUCAUUGGGCGUAAAGGGUGCGUAGGUGGCGAGGCAAGUCUGGUGUGAAAUCCCGGGGCUCAACCCCGGAACUGCACUGGAUACUGCCUUGCUUGAGCACUGGAGAGGGAACUGGAAUUUACGGUGUAGCAGUGAAAUGCGUAGAUAUCGUAAGGAAGACCAGUGGCGAAGGCGAGUUCCUGGACAGUUGCUGACACUGAGGCACGAAGGCUAGGGGAGCAAACGGG